GAUGAACGCUGGCGGCGUGCCUAAUACAUGCAAGUCGAGCGAACAGAUGAGGAGCUUGCUCCUCUGACGUUAGCGGCGGACGGGUGAGUAACACGUGGAUAACCUACCUAUAAGACUGGGAUAACUUCGGGAAACCGGAGCUAAUACCGGAUAAUAUAUUGAACCGCAUGGUUCAAUAGUGAAAGACGGUUUUGCUGUCACUUAUAGAUGGAUCCGCGCCGCAUUAGCUAGUUGGUAAGGUAACGGCUUACCAAGGCAACGAUGCGUAGCCGACCUGAGAGGGUGAUCGGCCAAACUGGAAAUGAGAAACGGUCCAGAAUCCUAAGGGAGGGAGCAGUAGGGAAUCUUCCGCAAUUGGCGAAAGCCUGACGGAGCAAAGCCGCGUGAGUGAUGAAGGUCUUCGGAUCGUAAAACUCUUUUAUUAGGGAAGAACAAAUGUGUAAGUAACUAUGCACGUCUUGACGGUAACUAAUCAGAAAGCCAAGGCUAAAUACGUG
rnacentral:rRNA from 1 species